rnacentral:rRNA from 1 species
AUUGAACGCUGGCGGCAGGCCUAACACAUGCAAGUCGAACGAGUGGCGGACGGGUGAGUAAUGUUUGGGAAACUGUCCGAUGGAGGGGGAUAACAACUGGAAACGGUAGCUAAUACCGCAUACCAUCAGAUGUGCCCAGGUGGGAUUAGCUUGUUGGUGGGGUAACGGCUCACCAAGGCGACGAUCCUUAGCUGGUAUGAGAGGUUGACCAGCCACAAUGGAACUGAGACACGGUCCAGACGCCGACGGGAGGCAGCAGUGGGGAAUGUUGCACAAUGGGCGCAAGCCUGAUGCAGCCAUGCCGCGUGUAUGAAGAAGGCCUUCGGGUUGUAAAGUACUUUCGUCAGGGAGGCGUUACCCGAAGAAGAAGCACCGGCUAACUCCGUGCCAGCAGCCGCGGUAAUAC